UAGAAUCCUUGGAAAACAAACUCUUUCCUUAAUUUCUUUAUUAAUGGAGUGGUGACUAGAAUAUUUCUUUCCUCAGUUUGCAACCUGAAAUGACUGUUCAUAAUUCUCAAAAGAAAACAACAAAAAACAUCAUUUGCAUUCUUCAGCAGUUUCAACAGGGAGAGAACUAAAGCUACUGAAGGAAGGAAACACAAGAGUCCUUUGUGCUAUUUUGCAACUUCUUGCAAGUCUAAAAUUAUUUUAUGAUAAAUGUUAAAAAAAAGGAUAGGAUCUAUUUAAAUAAAUAAAUAAACCUGUUUGGAG
rnacentral:lncRNA from 1 species